rnacentral:rRNA from 1 species
GACGAACGCUGGCGGCGUGCCUAAUACAUGCAAGUAGGACGCAGUUGCGAACGGGUGAGUAACGCGUAGGUAACUACCUAUUAGAGGGGGAUAAAUAUUGGAAACGAUAGCUAAUACCGCAUACUAGUAGAUGGACCUGCGUUGUAUUAGCUAGUAGGUAGGGUAAUGGGCUACCUAGGCAACGAUACAUAGCCGACCUUAGGAGGGGAACGGCCAAACUGGGACUGAGACACGGCCCAGACUCCUACGGGAGGCAGGAGUAGGGAAUCUUCGGCAAUGGGGGGAAACCUGACCGAGGAACGCCGCGGGAGUGAAGAAGGGUGUCGGAUCGUAAAGCUCUGUGGUGAAGGAAGCGGUACUUAACCAGAAAGGGACGGCUAACUACGUGCCAGCAGCCGCGGUAAUAC